UUAGAGGUUCCAAUUAAUUUGGCUAAUUCCACGAUAGUGCAUGAGAGAAAUUUAAAGUUUAAUCCUCUUUUGAGAGAGUUAAUUAUGAGUGGACGCUAGUCCCUUUGGGGCAUUAACGGUCACUUUAAUCCAAAUUUUGAUAGCCCAGUGGAAUUGAUUGUGGAACUUAAUAAUGAACUACUUGAUUCUAGGAGACAUUUGGCUAUUACCUUCGAGAAAAAUGUGAAACUCAAUAAUAUCAAUCCUAUUGAAAUUGAUAUUUCGGCUGGGAAAGUAAAGGGAUCCCGGCUUUGAAAGGAAGGAGAUCAGGAAUUAAGAGGGGUACUGUCUGAAGUGGUGGUGUUAUUAGUAAGAUAAUUCGAGAACGAAGGAAGUGAUUUAAAAAUUCUGAGAGUACAAGGGUUUCGCUGUCAGAUACAAUAAAUUCCAUGACCAAACUCAUCAACUCACAAAUUAAUAAUGAGGUUGAGAUGAGGAACUUGAACAACGAUGGGAAACGCAGUGAAGGCACAUGCUAGCCAAGAGAUUUGUCCUGAUAGUCGUAAGCGAAUGUGGCUUUGGGAUGCUUUGAAGGUGACUAUUCUAUAUUUUGAUUACAUUGGGUGGCAAUGGGAGAUUUUAAUGCGAUUUUAGCAUCUAAUGAUAAGAGGGAAGGGAAUGGUGAGUCAAUGGAAAAAGAUGUCCCUUUUUUGAAGACUUUAUAGACUCUUCUUUGGUACAUGAUUUGGAUUUUAGAGGUACUCCUUUUACGUGGCAGAGGGGUGGAGUUUCGAAGUGUCUUGAUAGAACUAUUGGGAAUGAUGCGUGGCUUGUGGCAUUCUAAAACUAUUCUGUAACCUAUCUCCCCAGACUCAAGUCUGAUCACAGGCUUAUUCUUCUAUCAUUACAACUUGUGCGUCAUUAAUCUUUGAGCCGUCUAUUUCGUUUUCUGGCAGGAUAGUUUGAGCAUGUAGAGUUUUUUGAAUUCGUUAAGAAAAAUUAAAAUGUUGUUGGUUCUAUGUCCAGUUCGAUUUCUAAUUUCACAAGUUAGCUUAAGGAUUGGAAUAAGAAGGUGUAUGGCCAUAAUGGGUUACGUAAAAAAAGACUGUUUCAAAAACUCAAUACGAUUAAGAGAGGUAUGAAUUAUUCACAGUCUGAUCAUUUAUUUUAGUCAGAAUUGGAACAUGUCUUGUAUCAUGAUGAACUUGUUUGGAAACAAAAGGUAAAGUGUGAGUGGCUUUCUUUGGGAGAUCGCAAUAUAAAAUUUUUUCAUAGGCACACCCUGAAAAGGAGAGAGUGGAAUUAGACUAUGGAUUUAAAAAACGUUAAGGGGGAGUGGACUUUUGAUGAGAAGGAACUACGUCAUGGGGCGAUCCGAUUCUUCGAGAAUUUGUAUGGUGAGGACCCAGGAUCGAUGAGGGGACUUCUCACUAGUUUAUUUCCGAAGCUUGAAGAUAGUGAGAUCCAACUUUUGAGCAAACCAGUUCCCAACAAGGAGAUAAAGUCUACCAUGUUUGAUAUGAGUCCUCUGAAGGUGUCGGGGAGUGACAGAUUUCAUGGCCUCUUUUUCAAAGUCAAUGGAAUUGUCUUGGGGAUUUGGUUUGUACCUAGGUCAAGAAUGUUUUUAAUGGAAAAAAAAUUGAUCCGGAGCUGAACAAUGCCUUAAUAUUUUUCAUUCCUAAGGUUUCGAAUCUAAAAUGUUUCUCUUAAUUUUGAUUGAUUAGUAUGUGCUCAGUUCUCUACAAGUUGGUAAUAAAAAUCAUUGUCAAUUGGUUUAAACUAGUGUUCCCAAGAAUAAUUGGCCAAGAGUAGAUUGGGUUUAUUGCGGGAAAGAGCACCAUGAAUAACAUUGUUAUUGCUUAGGAAGUGUUUCAUUCCAUGAAAAUCAAGAAGACUAGGAGCUGGUUGGCCAUUAAGAUUGAUCUUGAGAAGGCUUAUGGUCGAGUGCGUUAGGAGUUUAUUAGUGCAUCUCUCCAAGCUGUAAGUAUUUUAAAUUACCUUUGUAAUGUGAUUAUAUUUGCUAUCUCUAACUCCACUAUACAAAUUUUAUGGAAUGGAACACCAACUUAGAAAUUUUAGUUGAUUAAAGGGUUCGUCAAUGGUGCCCGCUAUCCUCUUAUAUCUCUGUUCUGUGCAUGGAAUGGCUCGACCAUAGUAUCCAAUCUAAUAUUAAUUCUAGACAUUAGAGACCUAUUUGUCUAUCUUGAUCGGGCCUUCCCCUAUCUCACAUUUUUUUUUUUACAGAUGACUCGAUUCUGUUUGGUCAAGCUAAAGAGGAUCAAGCUACAGUCUUGAAUGAAGUGUUGGAUAGUUUAUGUGAGUCUUCAAGAGUACGUAAUCUUUGGAACUAUCUGGGAAUACCCCUAUUUCAUGGCAGAGUACCCAAUAGCUCUUUCUGUUUUGUGGUGGACAAGGUUCAGAGUAAAUUGUAGGGUUGAGAUGUAAGGUUGUUGUCUCCUGCUAGUAGGGCCACCCUAGCGCAAUCAGUUCUACUGAUGAUUCCCACUUAUUUCAUGCAGUCAAUGCUGAUUCCUAAGGAUUUUUGUGAGGAAAUCGAACGUAUGGUGUAUUAGUUUGUUUGGGGAUCCUCGAGUAGUGGUAAGAAAGUGGCUUUGGUUGGUUGGAAGGAUGUGUGUCGGCCUCAAGAACAUGGCGGUCUUGAUUUUCGAAAGUUGCAAGAUCAUAACACUUGCUUCAUGAUGAAGUUGGGCUUUAAACUUGUGGCUAAUUCUAAAGCUCUUUGCGUAUAGGUACUUCGAACGAAGUAUGGGGUGGCUUUUGGUAUUCAAGAAACUUUAUCCCAUAGUAGAAGGUCUUUCCUGUGAAGAGCUCUUACUAAGGUUUGGCGACUUAUUCAAGAGAUUCUACCUUGGUCAGUAGGGAAUAGGAGAAAUAUCAAGUGUUGGCGUGAUCCUUGGAUUCCAAAUGUAUGGCCUUUCGUUAAUCUAAUUCUCAGACAUUAUAUUUUGGAUUUGGUCUAUUUUCUCAGUGAUAUGGUUGCAACAGAUGGUACUCGGAACCUUGAUUUGUUUCAGAUCUAGUUGCAUGAGACAGUCAUUCAAAAGGUUUUUGGGAUACCCCCCGUUACAUUCAGCAGCAGGAGUUGGCAAGAUAAUCUAGGGGGAAUGAUGAUGAGGUUUUUUUUCUGUUAAAAGUGCCUUUGGAAACUUCAGAAACGUUCAUGUAAACUGAAAGAAGAUGUCUAGAAGAUCCCUUGGAAGUUCAAGCAGAGAUUAAUCACCAGCACAAAAAGUGUUUGUUGGGGCUUGGAUCAUAGUUCAACAUGUAGAGUUUGUGGUCAUAUCUCUAAAGAUGUGUCACAUAUCAUAAGGGAUUGUCCUGCAGCAAUAAAUAUUUGAAACUUUUUAAUUCCCAUUGAUUGACUUCUCAGGUUUUACUUUGGUAAUCUAUAGGAAUGGCUCGUCUCAAAUCUAUAGAACCAAUAUAACAUUUGCUUUGGAGAGGUCGAUUGGGAAUGUCUUUUUGGGAUUAUCAUCUGGCGUAUUUGGAAGAAUCACAAUCUUUUUAUCUUUCAGGGUGCGACCUGGAGAAGUAAUAAUACUAUGAAGGUCUCGUAUAGUUGGGCCAAACAAUUCUUGAUGUCUAGUAAGAGUACAUCGAGUACGGUUCAGGAUCUGAUUUUAUGCUCUAGCUCAUCUAAGAGUUGGGUCUACUUGAAUAAAAACAGUUUCGUUAGGCUUGAGGAUGGUUCUGUGGUAGCAGGAGGAAUUGUGAGAUACCGAAAUGGAGAGUGGAUCAUUGGUUUUAAUUGGUUCUUGGGGAGCUGUUCAUAUUUAAAGUUGAAUUGUGGGGCAUAUUGGAUGGAUUAGACAUCUUAAUUGAUCGAGGUUUUGGUAAUGCGCUGAUCCAGAUUGGUAGUUUUGAGGUGGUUACGGCCAUCCAAUGGAGUUUUAUAAGAAGGUCUAAUUCAACUUUGAUUUGGAGAAUUCUCUGGUUAUUGUCUCAUAUUCUUCAUUGGAAUGUAUGUUACAUACCUAGAGAAGAGAAUCAGGAAGCAGAUAGUAUGACUAAGUUGGCUCAUUUUGGAAGCCAAUGAUUGCGAAUGUUUGAAAUAUUCCUGUUUGGAAAGUUGGGCUUGUUGAUGUAGUUUGUUUCUUAUAA